rnacentral:rRNA from 1 species
AGGGCGUAUGGGGAAUGCCUAGGCACACUCCGGCGAAGAAGGACGCAGCAAACAGCGAAAUGCGACGGGAAGCGGUAAGCACGCAAAGAUCCGUCGAUAUCCGAAUGGGGGAACCCGCAUGGAGUCAAAUCCAUGGAUCACAUGUUGAAUACAUAGACAUGAUGAGGCGAGACGCAGGGAACUGAAACAUCUAAGUACCUGCAGGAAGAGAAAAUAAGAAUGAUUUUCUGAGUAGCGGCGAGCGAAAGGGAAAGAGCCCAAACCGAUCUGAGGAUCGGGGUAGUAGGAUCAUCGAUAAAUCAAACAGAGGAUCAUAGAGGAAUCACAUGGGAAGGUGAGCGAGAGAGGGUGAGAGCCCCGUACUCGAAAUGAGAGACUGGAGAGAGAUGACACCUGAGUAGGGCGGGACACGAGAAAUCCUGUCUGAAUCAGCCGGGACCAUCCGGCAAGGCUAAAUACGAGAGAGUGACCGAUAGUGAACCAGUACCGUGAGGGAAAGGUGAAAAGAACCCCGGGAGGGGAGUGAAAGAGAACCUGAAACCAUAUGCCUACAAGAAGUCAGAGCCCGUUAAAGGGUGAUGGCGUGCCUUUUGUAGAAUGAACCGGCGAGUUACUGUAUGGAGCGAGGUUAAGCAGGAUAUGCGGAGCCGAAGCGAAAGCGAGUCUUAAGAGGGCGCGAGUUGCAUGCAGUAGACCCGAAACCGGGUGAUCUAGCCAUGACCAGGUUGAAGUUGGGGUAAAACCCGAUGGAGGACCGAACCGACCCCCGUUGAAACGUUGGCGGAUGAGUUGUGGCUAGGGGUGAAAUUCCAAUCGAACCCGGAGAUAGCUGGUUCUCCCCGAAAUAGCUUUAGGGCUAGCGUCGAGAGAAGAGUUGCGUGAAGGUAGAGCACUGAAUAUGUGAUGGCCCCAUCUCGGGGUACUGAGCAUAAUCAAACUGCGAAUGUCACGCCAACAUGCUCGGCAGUCAGACAGCGGGUGAUAAGGUCCGUUGUCAAGAGGGAAACAGCCCAGACCAUCAGCUAAGGUCCCAAAAUGUAUGCUAAGUGGAAAAGGAUGUGGAGAUGUACAGACAACUAGGAGGUUGGCUCAGAAGCAGCCAUCCUUUAAAGAGUGCGUAACAGCUCACUAGUCGAAUGACUCUGCGCCGAUAAUUUACCGGGGCUAAGCAUACUACCGAAGCUAUGGAUCCCAAGGGAUGGUAGGGGAGCGUUCCAUGAACGGAGAAGUACGACCGAAAGGACGUGUGGAGAUCAUGGAAGAGAGAAUGCCGGUGUGAGUAGCGGAACGUGGGUGAGAAUCCCACGCACCGAAAACCCAAGGUUUCCAGAGGAAGGUUCGUCCGCUCUGGGUAAGUCGGGACCUAAGGCGAGGCCGAAAGGCGUAGUCGAUGGACAACAGGUAGAGAUUCCUGUACCCGUAUAUAUGUGAAGGAAUGACGGAGAGAGGAAGCUGCAGCCAGCGGCUGGAAGAGCUGGUGCAAGCGAGAUAUCGGGAUGGCAGGCAAAUCCACCAUCCGAAACGAGAAGGCGUGAAGCGUACGGAAAGCUACGGCGAGUACGGAAGGCAGUGGAGGAACUUCCAAGAAAAGUUUCUAACGUUAAGUAUAUAUGGCCCGUACCGAAAAUGGACACACAUGGGUGAGGAGAGAAUCCUAAGGUGAGCGAGAGAACUAUAGCUAAGGAACUCUGCAAAAUGACUCCGUAACUUAGGGAGAAGGAGUGCUCAUAGAGAUAUGAGCCGCAGUGAAACGGCCCAAGCGACUGUUUACCAAAAACACAGCUCUCUGCUAAGCCGCAAGGCGAAGUAUAGGGGGUGACGCCUGCCCGGUGCUGGAAGGUUAAGGGGAGGGGUUAACGCAAGUGAAGCCCUGAACUGAAGCCCCAGUAAACGGCGGCCGUAACUAUAACGGUCCUAAGGUAGCGAAAUUCCUUGUCAGGUAAGUUCUGACCCGCACGAAUGGCGUAAUGAUUUGGGCACUGUCUCAACAGCCCGCCCGGCGAAAUUGUAGUACUGGUGAAGAUGCCAGUUACCCGCAACUAGACGGAAAGACCCCAUGGAGCUUUACUGCAGCUUAAUACUGAAAUUCGGUAGUACAUGUACAGGAUAGGUGGGAGACUGAGAAAUACAGGCGUCAGCUUGUAUGGAGUCGCUGUUGGGAUACCACUCUUGUACUGCUGGGUUUCUAACCUGCGGCCGUGAAUCCGGUCGGGGGACACUGUUAGGCGGGCAGUUUGACUGGGGCGGUCGCCUCCCAAAAGGUAACGGAGGCGCUCAAAGGUUCGUUCAGCACGGACGGAAAUCGUGCAAUGAGUGUAAACGCAUAAACGAGCCUAACUGCGACACCGACGGGUGGAGCAGUAACGAAAGUUGGAGUUAGUGAUCCGGUGGUAUGUGAGUGGAAAUGCCAUCGCUCAACGGAUAAAAGCUACCCUGGGGAUAACAGGCUGAUCUCCCCCAAGCGUCCACAGCGACGGGGAGGUUUGGCACCUCGAUGUCGGCUCGUCGCAUCCUGGGGCUGAAUUCGGUCCCAAGGGUUUGGCUGUUCGCCAAUUAAAGCGGCACGCGAGCUGGGUUCAGAACGUCGUGAGACAGUUCGGUCCCUAUCCAUCGUGGGCGUAGGAGUCAUGAGAGGAGCUGUUCCUAGUACGAGAGGACCGGAAUGGACGCACCACUGGUGCAACUGUUGUCGUGCCAACGGCAUAGCAGGGAAGCGAAGUGCGGACGGGAUAAACGCUGAAGGCAUCUAAGCGUGAAGCCCACCUCAAGAAUAAGACUCCACAAUAGACCCCUGGAGGACUACCAGGUAGAUAGGUCAUCGGUGGAAGCGCCGUAAGGUGU